CGGGGAGCUUGCUCCCUGGCGGCGAGUGGCGCACGGGUGAGUAAUACAUCGGAACGUGUCUUCUAGUGGGGGAUAACUGCCCGAAAGGGCAGCUAAUACCGCAUGAGACCUGAGGGUGAAAGCGGGGGAUCGCAAGACCUCGCGCUGGAAGAGCGGCCGAUGUCCGAUUAGCUAGUUGGUGAGGUAAAGGCUCACCAAGGCGACGAUCGGUAGCUGGUCUGAGAGGACGACCAGCCACACUGGGACUGAGACACGGCCCAGACUCC
rnacentral:rRNA from 2 species